UAAUAAACAACAAUAUUUACACUGAGUUAGUGGCUGAGAUAUUUCUCUCAAAAUCACAAAUCAAACAGCGUUGCUGGAGGAAGUUGGGUUCAUCCUCUGGUGACCAUGAGAGUGACGAUGCAGCAGAAGUUGAGGAUGAUGUAACUGAAGAAGACCUGCUGCAGUUCCAGCCCGGCUCAUUGUGCAGUGUUUGCUCCAUCUGUGUGCACUGCUCUACUGACUGCGACAAAUGCCCGUGUGAAGAGGGAGAUGAGUCAGAUCUCUGUGACCACUGCCAAGAGUGCUCAUCCUGUUAUCUCUGCCCUAUACUGUGCGACACGAUUUGCACGCCAGGUGGCCUUGUUGAUGAGCUAACUGGGUCCCUCUUUCAGUCUUUUUCCUCUCUUCUCUGAGCCCCUGAUGCCCCCAUGUGGUUACAUAAGGUACUGUGUUCAGGAUUGGAGCUGUCCGGAUUUUCAUACCUUCAAAGCAACAGCAGGGCUCUCACAAGAGCUACACUUGAAUCUGACUGCUGAUAGAAAAGUAAUGACGUGUUAAGGUUUUACCUUAACAUGGUUUUACAGGUUUCAAGUAGCAUUUAUAUGAGCUGAAAAUAGCUUAAUAGGUUCUUUUACUUUUCUUUCUUUUACUUCUGUGCAAUUUUGAAGCAAAAAGAUGAUAAUACAUUGCAAUGGAUAUAUGUGCGUUUUGUAGAAACACUGUAAUAUAACACGGGAAAUGAAGGUGUAUUAUGAUAGGAAUCUGUAUUCCUGUACAAGACAAAAAAAACCCUACUUCUUAUUUAUUAAAGGUACAAGGUAGAGCAGUCCAAAGUUUUCUUCUUAUUCUUUCUGUGAUGUGCAUUUCAAGUUGGAUCUUUACUCUCUAUUUCACACUGUUAACCAGCAAUUAAAAAAAGUCUAGAUUUAUUUGUGAGCAUAAACCUCUUUGGUAUACAUUUGAAAAGAAACUGAGGUUCAAUUUAAAGGCGUACAACUUCUGGAAAUCCCUCUUUUAAAACUACGACUUCUCUACCUCGUAACCCACAACACUGUAUAAAAAGUGGGCGUACGCAAUUCUAAGGUAUUUCAUUCAAAAGGAUUCAUAACAAUAAACUUUGUUGAGAAAAGAAA